rnacentral:rRNA from 1 species
UACGUAGGGACCAAGCGUUGUUCGGAUUUACUGGGCGUAAAGGGCGCGUAGGCGGCAUGACAAGUCACUUGUGAAAUCUCCGGGCUUAACUCGGAACGGUCAAGUGAUACUGUCGCGCUAGAGUGCGGAAGGGGCAAUCAGAAUUCUUGGGUGUAGCGGUGAAAUGCGUAGAUAUCAAGAGGAAUACCUGAGGUGAAGACGGGUUGCUAGGCC